GAUAUUAUUUGGUCUGGACACCCUUGAGGCAUUAAAUAAAGAUGUAAGGAAGCAACAAAGCCAUCUGUGGUUAAUGAGCAAGUAAAGAAUCAUACACCGGUUUUCCAAACACUUUACCAUGAUUGCUCCUGGAGGAAUGUACUGUAAGUCACUUUGGAUAAAAUCUCAGCUAAAUGACCUUUUCUGUCGCUGUCUUUGUGGGAGGGUAGUUGUCAUGUCUGUGAGUGGAGAUGGCUGAAAGACAGAGCUGAACUCUGCAGUCGCUGGACGUGGCUGCAGAUGAGACUGUCUGAUCUGGACUCUCAGAUUCAGCAGCUUGGAAAACUCAGGCAGCAGAUCCUCUCUAAUAAGGGUCAUGUGAUUUUGGCAGUGUCUCAGCCCCUGACGGACAGGCAGAUUCAACACACCUUGUGGACAGAGACUAUGGAUCUUUCAUUCACAGCCGGGAACAUGCAAGAUUUGCACUCUGAUCUAGAUAUGGAACCCAGCAGCCCCACACGCCUUCUGAGGAACAUUGAGAGACAGGUGAACGAAAGAAAACCACAGGCGGCAAGAACAUAAAUAAGACAAGAUA
rnacentral:lncRNA from 1 species